GAAAAUCAUGCAUGCUAUUAUACAGUUAAGCUCGUUUUGGAUAAGAUAGUCAAAUUAAAAGAUGCAUCUAAAUUGAUUCAUGUAUGUGGAAAUAUUGUUGCAGUGCAAGGCUUACCCAUUCAGUUUUAUAUUUACGGUCUCCUACCUGUAUUCCUGUGGUGGUUUGCAUUCAAACACAACGCAUUGAAUGUUUUUGAGGGAUUCCUUCAAACUUGUUAUGAAUGUUGGUAUCUACCAAUAACUUAUGCCAUUGGAGUGGAGUUUUUCGUGCUGACCUUUUUCCAGCGAUGGGCAAUCAGCGCAGUAACGCUAGCUUUAGUGUUUUGGCCAUGGUUUCAUCUCUCAACUCUGAGGCGGCAAAAAUGUCAAUUUCUUGUCUAUAUGUGGACUUGCUCGACACUGGGAAUAGCUAUUUUUCCGUUUUUACCAGUCACCGGUUUCGAAUCUAAUAUAUUUUUUGUGGUAAUAUCUGGGUUGUUAUCUAUUGUUUUCAACGUUAGUAUACUCUUACUGCCAGUGCUGAACCACUGUUUUAUUUUAAAACCCGAAGAAGGUAGUAGUGGCUGUUAUCUUUCAUUGGGUACCAUUCGGCACAUUUGGGCACUCCUGGCAUCAUUCUUAGUUUGUAUAGCAAUGUAUUUCAAUCUGUCAGUGAAGUACUGUCAGAUUUCAUCCUGGAUCCUGUUAGGAAACGCUGUUAUUAUUCCUGUCAACAUGAUGAAAGGAGAUGUGUCCCUUCGUUUGGUUGGGUUGUUCCUUUCAAUGACCUCCCCCAUGUUACUUCUGUCUAUAGGACAUGAGUCGCUCUUUUAUUUUUAUUUUCGGCUCAUCUGCUUAUUUGGUUCGCACUUGAAUAUCAGCUGGUUUCGCGAGUCUGUAUCGGUGGUAUCAGAGAUGGCACCAUUGGCGGAAUCUCAGGAAACACUAGUCCUGUCACCUGGCGGAGAGCUUUUUUCUUUCUUACGUUCUUAUUAA
rnacentral:lncRNA from 1 species